rnacentral:lncRNA from 1 species
ACUAUAGAUUGUAUCUCAGAGGGGCCUCUAAGUCUUCAGUGAGACAGUCCAGACCACUGGUUCUCAAACUUGACCAUGUGUCAGAACCAACCAGAGGGCUUAUAAAAUGCAGGUUGCUGGGGCUGGGGAUGUGGCUCAAGCGGUAGCGCACUAGCCUGGCAUGCGCGGGGCGCUGGGUUCGAUCCUCAACACCACAUAAAAAUAAAAUAAAGAUAUGGUGUCCAUCUAAAACUAAAAAAUAAAUAUUAAAGAAAAAAAUGCAAGUUGCUGGACUUACCCCUAGAGGUUUUGAUUUGUGUGGGGUGGGGCCUAAGAAUUUGUGUUUAUAUCAAGUUCCCAGGUGAUUCUGUUAGAACUGAUUGGGGACCAUAUUUCGAGAAUCAUUGAUCUAGAAGGAGUGACCUGCUGGACAUGGUGAACCAUGCCUGUAAUCCCAAAGGCUCUGGAGGCUGAGGCAGGAGGAUCAUUAGUUCAAAGUCAGCCUCAGCAACUUAGUGAGGCCCUAAGCAACUCAGUGAGACUCUGUCUCUAAGUAAAAUAUUUUUUAAAGGGCUGGGGAUGUUGCUCAGUGGUUAAGGGCCCCUGGGUUCAAUCCCUGGUGCCAAAAAAAAAUUGGAGUGAUCAGCCCUUGACCCGCUAGCUAAUCAGUACUCAGUAAUGCCCCCUAUUAUUCAUCAACAGUCAGUGACAACUUACUGAGUCCUUAGGAUGCACUGUCACCUUUGCCAUGAGGGACUCCUGUUUCCAGUUUCACCCCAGCCACAGGCUCCUCCUCGGCCCCAUCCCUCUUUCUCUCUGCAUCUUAACCUCAGCUUUCCCACAUCUGGGUCACUGACCAGCCUGGGCAAAAACUAAGUUUCAUUACUUAGCACCUUUGAGGAGCCAGGCAUCAAAUGUUUAUAAUAAAUUCCUGGGGACGGUCCAAAGAUGACACUCAAUUUACAUAUGAGGAAACUAAGGAUCAGAGAAAUUAAGUGACUCACCAAACGUCACACAGCCAGCAGAAAUUUCUCGAACCCAGUUCUCUCCGACUCUAGAGUCUAAGUUUUGCUCCCUCCUCCUUUCUCCUGCCUCCUCUGUCUCUCCAUUACCCUCUCUCCCCACCUGGACCAGGAGCCUCAGAGGAGCACAAGGCAAAGUUAUUUUUAAACUUUCCUUGAAGCUGCCUUAGCUCCAGGGACCCCGCCUAGCUCUGGGGAGCUCUGGAGAGGUCAUUUUGUACUGGUACUUCCUCUCUGGGUUCCAAAUCUAGGCACCCAGCUGGAGGCUAAGACUCCAGAGCCUGUGAAGGGCCCUUCCUGAGGUAGAGUGGGGAGAAGAGAAGAGAUGGAAUCCCAGGGGCCUGCCUGAGGGAGGAGGCGCUGGAGACCAAAAGGGCAUUCAGAAGAGUUGUCCUGAAGCUGACCCUCCCGUGUGUCCUCCCAGGGAGGACAGCAGUGAUCCUAGGGGGUCUUGUGUCUUGAUUUCCUGAGAGGUCAGGACAAAUCCCAGGGGUCUGCCAACAGGAAAUCUCUUCCAUGAUGACUUGAGACAGUUUUGUCCAGAGGAAUUUGGGGGGAAUGCCUGAAGGAGGGAGUUUUUAGGAUUCCUUGGAGGGUCC